rnacentral:rRNA from 1 species
UCAGGAUGAACGCUGGCGGCGUGCUUAACACAUGCAAGUCGAACGAUGACCCGGUGCUUGCACCGGUGAUUAGUGGCGAACGGGUGAGUAACACGUGAGUAACCUGCCCUUAACUCUGGGAUAAGCCUGGGAAACUGGGUCUAAUACCGGAUAUGACUCCUCAUCGCAUGGUGGGGGGUGGAAAGCUUUAUUGUGGUUUUGGAUGGACUCGCGGCCUAUCAGCUUGUUGGUGAGGUAAUGGCUCACCAAGGCGACGACGGGUAGCCGGCCUGAGAGGGUGACCGGCCACACUGGGACUGAGACACGGCCCAGACUCCUACGGGAGGCAGCAGUGGGGAAUAUUGCACAAUGGGCGAAAGCCUGAUGCAGCGACGCCGCGUGAGGGAUGACGGCCUUCGGGUUGUAAACCUCUUUCAGUAGGGAAGAAGCGAAAGUGACGGUACCUGCAGAG